AAAGAUUAAGCCAUGCAUGUCUAAGUAUAAGCAAUUAUACGGCGAAACUGCGAAUGGCUCAUUAUAUAAGUUAUCGUUUAUUUGAUAGUACCUUACUACUUGGAUAACCGUGGUAAUUCUAGAGCUAAUACAUGCUUAAAAUCCCGACUUCGGAAGGGAUGUAUUUAUUAGAUUAAAAACCAAUGCCCUUCGGGGCUCUCUGGUGAUUCAUGAUAACUUCUCGAAUCGCAUGGCCUUGCGCCGGCGAUGGUUCAUUCAAAUUUCUUCCCUAUCAACUUUCGAUGUUUGGGUAUUGGCCAAACAUGGUUG
rnacentral:rRNA from 1 species